AGCAGCAUGGCAUAGUGGUGUGAGUGUUCGGCUAGGGUGCUGAGAGACAAGGGUUCAAAUCCCUUCUCAGCUA